AUGACCGUAGUUCAACUAGCGAGGGCACCGGAGUAUCAAACUGGAGGUCGCGGGUUCGAAGCCCGCCGGUUGUC
rnacentral:tRNA from 1 species